GAUCCUAGCUCAGGACGAACGCUGGCGGCGCGCCUAACACAUGCAAGUCGAACGAGCGAGAGAGAGCUUGCUUUCUCAAGCGAGUGGCGAACGGGUGAGUAACGCGUGAGGAACCUGCCUCAAAGAGGGGGACAACAGUUGGAAACGACUGCUAAUACCGCAUAAGCCCACGACCCGGCAUCGGGUAGAGGGUAAAAACGGAGCAAUCCGCUUUGAGAUGGCCUCGCGUCCGAUUAGCUAGUUGGUG
rnacentral:rRNA from 1 species